UACGUAGGGCGCGAGCGUUGUCCGGAAUUAUUGGGCGUAAAGAGCUCGUAGGCGGUCUGUCGCGUCGGAUGUGAAAGCCCGGGGCUUAACCCCGGGUCUGCAUUCGAUACGGGCAGACUAGAGUGUGGUAGGGGAGAUCGGAAUUCCUGGUGUAGCGGUGAAAUGCGCAGAUAUCAGGAGGAACACCGGUGGCGAAGGCGGAUCUCUGGGCCAUUACUGACGCUGAGGAGCGAAAGCGUGGGGAGUGAACAGG
rnacentral:rRNA from 1 species